UACGAAGGGGGCUAGCGUUGCUCGGAAUACUGGGCGUAAAGGGCGCGUAGGCGGUUCUAUAAGUCAGGCGUGAAAUUCCUGGGCUUAACCUGGGGGCUGCGCUUGAGACUGUGGGACUUGAGGUCAGAAGAGGGUCGUGGAAUUCCCAGUGUAGAGGUGAAAUUCGUAGAUAUUGGGAAGAACACCGGUGGCGAAGGCGGCGACCUGUCUGACUACGUGACGCUGAGGCGCGACAG
rnacentral:rRNA from 1 species